rnacentral:rRNA from 1 species
GUAGAUGAACGCUGGCGGCAGGCCUAACACAUGCAAGUCGAACGGUAACAGGAAGAAGCUUGCUUCUUUGCUGACGAGUGGCGGACGGGUGAGUAAUGUCUGGGAAACUGCCUGAUGGAGGGGGAUAACUACUGGAAACGGUAGCUAAUACCGCAUAACGUCGCAAGACCAAAGAGGGGGACCUUCGGGCCUCUUGCCAUCGGAUGUGCCCAGAUGGGAUUAGCUUGUUGGUGGGGUAACGGCUCACCAAGGCGACGAUCCCUAGCUGGUCUGAGAGGAUGACCAGCCACACUGGAACUGAGACACGGUCCAGACUCCUACGGGAGGCAGCAGUGGGGAAUAUUGCACAAUGGGCGCAAGCCUGAUGCAGCCAUGCCGCGUGUAUGAAGAAGGCCUUCGGGUUGUAAAGUACUUUCAGCGGGGAGGAAGGGAGUAAAGUUAAUACCUUUGCUCAUUGACGUUACCCGCAGAAGAAGCACCGGCUAACUCCGUGCCAGCAGCCGCGGUAAUACGGAGGGUGCAAGCGUUAAUCGGAAUUACUGGGCGUAAAGCGCACGCAGGCGGUUUGUUAAGUCAGAUGUGAAAUCCCCGGGCUCAACCUGGGAACUGCAUCUGAUACUGGCAAGCUUGAGUCUCGUAGAGGGGGGUAGAAUUCCAGGUGUAGCGGUGAAAUGCGUAGAGAUCUGGAGGAAUACCGGUGGCGAAGGCGGCCCCCUGGACGAAGACUGACGCUCAGGUGCGAAAGCGUGGGGAGCAACAGGAUA